rnacentral:lncRNA from 1 species
AAAAUGAUUCCUUGAAUUGGCAAUCGCUUCAAUGUAGUACUCCCUCCGUCCCGCAAUAAGUGACUCAAAAAUGACUCAACUUUGUACUCCUUCCUUCAAUUGGAGUAUAUGUUUUCUUUUCUCAUAGGAAAGGAGAGUGCUUUAAUUUUUUACAGAACAAAAUUGAGAUUGAUUUAUUCUUUAGUUAAAAUUGGUGCCACGAAUAUGUUUCAUGGAAUCUGAGAAUUGUUCCAAACGUAUCGAUAAAGUACUUCCAAUAUAGUAAAAAUUGGCAGUCUAAGGAUUUUGCAUUGAACCUCUUUUAAAAUGGUGAUGAAAGACCACACAUGUUGAAGAUAAGUUUGGCCUUAAUCUAAUCGAGAAACAACUGUUUUUCAUACCAGACAAGCAACUACUCCUCUCCGAGUCAAUGUGCCACACCAUUCACUCACCGGUGUAAUCCAUACACAUGUUCAGUACCUUUUGAAUUUUAUGCUCCCGCUUCUCCAUGUGUCAACCCCUUUGUUCCUUGUUGACCCUAGCUUGUCUUGAUGCAACAUCAAGCAACAACAAAAUAUUACACCUGAUACGACAUCAAGCUAUACAGGAACUAUUAGACCACCCAAAUUAUUGAAGCUUCAGAAUUUGUGUCUGGGUCCAUGCCUAAUAAACUGGAAGAAAACCAAAAGAUACUUAUUGAUAUGAAUCAACUUGGUUAAGUAUGGUCAAAUACAAUGCACGGUGGAAUAUCUGCCCUGGAAAACAAAAGAAAAGGAGAUGGAAGAAAUCAUGCACUCAAUGGGUGGCUGUAAGUUCACGGGUAUCAAGACUUGGCUCACAUAUCAUUGAUCAUGGGUCUGUGUCAAUAUGGCUCCGGUGCCCAGUUUAUCACGGUGUUUUGUUAUUAUUUCCGAGAUAGUACUUUCUAUUAUAGUGUUGAGAUAAGCAAUUUAGAUGUUUUAAAUAUUCCCAGCUCUUUGGAUAAGAAGUAUUUCAGUAACUGAAUAAUCUUUGACCGUCCAAAAGAACUACCAUGUUUCUUUGGGAAUAACAGCAGAACAAAAAAAUCGAGAAUCAUGGCUGACCUAUGAGGCGCAGAUGUUGCCGAGGACCUAUAACCAUGCCUCCUCUCCUUUGCGCAACCUUGAAACCACGAGUAAUUACCUGGCAUUAUUUCAUUAUCUCAGCUGGUUUUAUGACUUCGAACAUAUGAGAGUACUCUAACAUGUAAAAUAAUUCUUUCUCAGGUUCCAAAUAAGUCAACAGUAGGUCAAAAAUAGAGGUGAAACAUUGCCAGGCAGGCAGACACACAACAACAGCCGAUGAUUAUAGCUUAAGGUCCAAUGAGGAUAAUAUAAGUAGUGGAAAACGGAAUUUUGUAUCCACAUCCCUAUUGAUCAAGGAGUAAGUCAACAUGAUACAAGGAACGUACAACAACACACCCGAGACAAUAUAAUUACAACACUGCAGAAAAAUUAGAGAUCCAUGUAAUCAAAUAUCUCUUUGUUAAAUUUUAGCUGAACAACUUAACUUAUAGAGUGUCGAUGGUUCAGAUCUUUUUCCUUUUAAUUAACAUGUGAGUUAUUAUAAAGUGGGUAAUUUCUUUUUGCGGUAUAUAAAGUGGGUAACUCAUAUAGACUAAGACAUGGAAAAAGGGUGUAGGUGGUGCAAAUUCAUAGCAAGUUUUAUAUUGGAUGCACACAAACAACUGUGUGGACACACAAAAAGAAAACAAUCACUUUGAAAGUUUGAAUAGAAAUGUCUAAAUGAACAUCAGAUGGUCUAGUAUCUCCACUGAGAGCACUACAUGGACCCCUCAUUAACAAUUUAGCAAUGAACAAACAAUUCUAGUAUUUAGACAUGAGAAUACCUUGUACAGAAUUUCAAAGCCAUAAAAAACGUUACCACUGGUUUGGGUAUCCUGGAAAUAGAACAGAGGUAAUAAAUUCCUUAUAACUAAUCAGGUGAACAUAGAAAAUUGAUUACCUCUGGUUUGAUCCCAUGUGCUCUAGCCAAAAAUAGAUCAAAUCAGCAGGAUAUCCUAUAAGGAAACAAAUCUAGCAAGGAAACUGAUUAUUAUUAUAUCUAAUUUCCAGCUACCAGUGGUAGGCGCAAAGUGGAACACUAUUACGUAGGACAACAAAUUUGGGCAGGAGGAUGUAUAAUGGUUAUGAAUGCCAGGCAAAGUGUAUUAAGUUCAUAACUAUGAGCAUGCAAAUAAUUUAUAUGAAGGGUCCCUUUUCUUCUGCAUAAGUGAGACAUACUGUAUGUAUGUGUAAUGUGUCAACCUGUACACAAAUACAAAAUAUAUAUUACAACGGAAAAUGCGUGAAUAUGAUGAUGAAUAUCUUAUUCUGAACUCUUUUGCAUCUUGUAUAAUGGACAGGGAUUGAGAUUCUAAUUUCGGCACUACUGGAGAGUAUGUUGUGUGCAAAACGAAACUACAUGCAGUAAUCUACAUGAUUGUUCGUACCAACAGAGAAACAAUUUUGCAUUUAGUAGAUGUGUGUAUGUUUCAGGGUUACUUUCACAAUAUUUAGUUGCUAUAGAAAAAACACUUAAGGCUAGCAAAUAGAAUUAACCUAGUACAUAGAAAGUAGAGAACUGACCGCUGCAGUAAAUUAUGAACUGAUAUCACACAUAAAACAGUAACAUACCCCAAAAUCUAUUCCUCGCAGCUCCCCACAAGUCUUCCUUCGCCCUCUUCUGCUCCACCAACCC